UGCCGGGUGGUGUAAGGGUAGCACAAGAGACUUUGGAUCUCUUGGUUCAGGUUCGAAUCCUGACCCGGUAGCCA
rnacentral:tRNA from 1 species